GUGAUUGCCUUCAUUGGCUUAUAACUAUAUCCAUCUACACCUGUGAACCGUUUGACUGAAUCCUCUGGAUUUAGUUUUACAAACAUUGUGUAAUGAACGUCAUUAGAUCAUAACAGAAAA
rnacentral:misc_RNA from 1 species